UAUCAUGCUUUUUUAUCUAAACCUUUGUACAUUUGUUAAGAUUGCUCAAUUCACUUGUUCCUAAUAAAUAACCAUUUGCAUCUUCAACUAUUGUACUGUUCAUGUAGCCGGCAUUCGACUUUCCCCAACCUUACAAGUCCAAGAGGCAAAAAUGCAACCAGCCCUUCUCUGUACAUUGAUUUUUCGUAUUGCUGGAAAAGACAGUUCUUUAGCUCUCAGAAGGCUGAUAUUAAAGGCCAAGCUCCAUAAAGAGUCAGUGUUCUUCCAUUCUGCAAGCUUCUCAGAUUAAGUCCAAUAAUUAGGAUGCAGGCAGUAGAGACAAAGCUACAGUAAGCCCUUGGUGUACUUCACGUAUGGAAGCUUCCUCCAUCAAAUUUAGAUGAUGAAACGGUCCUAGCUGAAAGACGGAGCAUGUACUUCAUGGUGGCCAUUCAUCUGCCAUGGUGAUACUGGAUUAUGCUUCCAUGCUGCUACAAAGGAUCAUGAGGAACACAGCCUUAGACGGCACAAUGGGCAGAUGGUACUGCACCCUUCGUACAGAAGGCAAAUGGUAGCGAUCUGCAAUUCUGCAUUCAAGCCCCUGGUAUGAUCUGCAUUCAAGCCUCAAUUCUGCCUAGCGGGAUAGUAGCAAUAUAAGUUCUAUUUAUCUUUACAUGAUGAGCUGUCGAAAUGUUGCUCAGCGAGUUUAGGAGCAAAGUAGGAUCGUUAGCAAACGAGUUAAUGGCUUCUACUUGUAUAUGCCUAGUAUGCUGUUAGUAGAAUCACCCCUGCUCGUAUGAUGUCGCACAGCUCAAUCUGCUGAAUGCUCGCGUCAGAGAACAGAAACCCAGGCCCGUGCCUGUUGCGUCCAUUUAUCUACAGUAAGAUUAUGCAGCUUUUGGAGUGGCAGCGUAGGGUAGGGAUGCAGCCUGACUGUAUAACCCUUCUGUGGCAUCUUUCCAAUCUGGGCAGGGAUCGUGCAUUCGUGCUGGCCAAUGAUCCCAGGCUGGUAAUAGUACUACGCAGGCACUUGCCACCCCAAUGAAAGGAAAAGGCAAGUUUUUCUUUUUUUUCUGUAAAGCCUUUAGGAAUGAACUUGUGCAAGCUGUAAUCAAAGAUCUACAAGUUCUCUGUAAAUUUGAGCAGCGGAACUGGACG